UUGAAUGUGUAUGUGUAGGUCUACUUAUGGACUCUCUGUCCUGUGCUUUUGUGCUCUGUGUCUAUCACUUUUUCAAGUGCCACACUGCCUUUAUUACUGGAGCUUUAGACUAAUUCCAAAAUCAGAUGGUGAAGAAAAGUCCUUGAUUAGUCCUACUGCUUUAGAAGACCAGGCACCAUGGUUUCCAUCAAUAAUAAGGAGAGAGAUCAUCACUUGGCUUCAUUGCUGUCUCUAAAACUCAAAUGAAUACACCUGGGAGGAUUCGAGAAGUCACUGAUUGGAUAGUUACAUCAAAAUCAAAGAUCCAAGUCUAUAUGUGCUACAGAGCCAUCCCUCGCCCUAGUCACAGCCAUCUGGUUUCCUUCCACAUCUUGCUAUCUCAGUAAAGCUAAAGGAACAAGCUGAUCUGCUGGGAGCAAAUCAAUUUCUCAUUAUCCUUAAUGUGUGAAGAUGAGACUACUGACAGUGAUCACAGUCUUUGUCUACGGAGAGGGUUGAAAACUUGUGUUUACAUAACAGAAAAUGUUUUCAUGUAGAAGAGACGGAAUAGGCAUACGUGGCUGUGGGAUGCUGUGCCUUAACGUGGAAGCUAAUUCCUCUCAACAAAUAAACUUAGCAUUUCUCAUCGUA